rnacentral:rRNA from 1 species
AUGUUGAUGCAAGAUUAUUUCGCGGAGAAUCAUACAUAUCCUCCGCACCUCUUUCGGAGAAGGUACCGAAUGCGCCGAUCCCUCUUUGUGAAACUUGUUGAAGCUUGCGAGGCAAAUUGCCGGUAUUUUACUCAAAGAAGAAAUGCAGCGGGCUUAAAGGGAUUUAGUGCAUAUCAAAAAAUCUCCGCAGCUGUGCGGGUGAUUGCAUAUGAUGUUCCGGCUGACUAUGCCGAUGAGUAUCUUCGCAUUGGUGAAGAUAGCACAACUGAGGUUGUGCACUAUUUGUAUUCAUGA